UACGGGGGGGGCAAGCGUUGUUCGGAAUUACUGGGCGUAAAGGGCGUGUAGGCGGCCAACUAAGUCCGACGUGAAAUCCCCAGGCUUAACCUGGGAACUGCGUCGGAUACUGGGUGGCUUGAAUCCGGGAGAGGGAUGCGGAAUUCCAGGUGUAGCGGUGAAAUGCGUAGAUAUCUGGAGGAACACCGGUGGCGAAGGCGGCAUCCUGGACCAACACUGACACUGAGGAGCGAAAGCCAGGGGAGCAAACGGG
rnacentral:rRNA from 1 species